AGUCACAUCACAUUGAAAUACUGAUCCCCAUAGGAUCACUGAAGUUAAGCAACAUUGAGACUGUUCAGUACCUAGAUGGGUAACCACUUGGGAAUACCUGGUGCUGUAAG